UUUAACAUUCGUCUCGCUGAAAGCGUCUAUAGGAUUCAAAGAUGGCGAGCCGUCUAUUUACGAAGAUAGCGCAAGUAAACGGGAUUAUUUGUUUCGUCCACCCAGUUGUAUCCAAUCUCUUCCAAAACUGAAUGAAGUUUUUCCACUUGGCCAUCAAAAACUCUAAGGCCAGCAAGCACACUAGCUAUAUCUCCACCACAAUUACGAUAAUGGAAAAGGGAAAUGCUGCAAACUUCCUUUAUACUCCUCAAAAACUUACAUAAAGCUCCAGGGCGUUCAGGGAAAUCCAAUCGGUACAAACGCUCUUUUGAAACAGAUGAUUUUCCUCCAAUA